AGUGAACGCUGGCGGUAGGCCUAACACAUGCAAGUCGAACGGCAGCACAGGAGAGCUUGCUCUCUGGGUGGCGAGUGGCGGACGGGUGAGGAAUACAUCGGAAUCUACUUUUUCGUGGGGGAUAACGUAGGGAAACUUACGCCAAUACCGCAUACGACCUAAGGGUGAAAGCAGGGGAUCUUCGGACCUUGCGCGAUUGAAUGAGCCGAGGUCGGAUUAGCUAGUUGGCGGGGUAAAGGCCCACCAAGGCGACGAUCCGUAGCUGGUCUGAGAGGAUGAUCAGCCACACUGGAACUGAGACACGGUCCAGACUCCUACGGGAGGCAGCAGUGGGGAAUAUUGGACAAUGGGCGCAAGCCUGAUCCAGCCAUACCGCGUGGGUGAAGAAGGCCUUCGGGUUGUAAAGCCCUUUUGUUGGGAAAGAAAUCCAGCUGGUUAAUACCCGGUUGGGAUGACGGUACCCAAAGAAUAAGCACCGGCUAACUUCGUGCCAGCAGCCGCCGUAA
rnacentral:rRNA from 1 species